rnacentral:rRNA from 1 species
GAACGAAACUUCUUUAUCACCGAGUGCUUGCACUCACCGAUAAACAGUUGAGUGGCGAACGGGUGAGUAACACGUGGGCAACCUGCCCAAAAGAGGGGGAUAACACUUGGAAACAGGUGCUAAUACCGCAUAACCAUAGUUACCGCAUGGUAACUAUGUAAAAGGUGGCUAUGCUACCGCUUUUGGAUGGGCCCGCGGCGCAUUAGCUAGUUGGUGGGGUAAAGGCUUACCAAGGCAAUGAUGCGUAGCCGAACUGAGAGGUUGAUCGGCCACAUUGGGACUGAGACACGGCCCAAACUUAUACGGGAGGCAGCAGUAGGGAAUCUUCCACAAUGGGCGAAAGCCUGAUGGAGCAACGCCGCGUGGGUGAAGAAGGUCUUCGGAUCGUAAAACCCUGUUGUUAGAGAAGAAAGUGCGUGAGAGUAACUGUUCACGUUUCGACGGUAUCUAACCAGAAAGCCACGGCUAACUACGUGCCAGCAGCCGCGGUAAUACGUAGGUGGCUAGCGUUAUCCGGAUUUAUUGGGCGUAAAGGGAACGCAGGCGGUCUUUUAAGUCUGAUGUGAAAGCCUUCGGCUUAACCGGAGUAGUGCAUUGGAAACUGGGAGACUUGAGUGCAGAAGAGGAGAGUGGAACUCCAUGUGUAGCGGUGAAAUGCGUAGAUAUAUGGAAGAACACCAGUGGCGAAAGCGGCUCUCUGGUCUGUAACUGACGCUGAGGUUCGAAAGCGUGGGUAGCAAACAGGAUUAGAUACCCUGGUAGUCCACGCCGUAACGAUGAAUGCUAAGUGUUGGAGGGUUUCCGCCCUUC